rnacentral:tRNA from 2 species
UCCCCAGUAGCUCAGUGGUAGAGCGGCCGGCUGUUAACCGUGUGUUGUCGUGGGUUCGAAUCCUAUCUGGGGAG